rnacentral:tRNA from 1 species
GUAGCUCAGUUGGUAGAGUGCUUGUCUAGAAUGCAUGAAUUCCUGGGUUCCAUCCCCAGC